UGUGUGUGUUGUGUGGUUGGAGACAGGUGUGCUGGAGUCAGAGCAGUUCCCCACCAGCUGCAAUCUGUUCCAUAAUCAAGACCUCUACAAAUACUCAGUCCUUCCACUUCCACUCUACCAGAUCGGAAUCUCCGUUCAUUUUGCUGCUCUGACUCUGGUUCCUGUCUCCUGUUCCACAUCUCACCACCCUGCUCCCUUGAAUUCCCCUCCGGACCUAUUCACCCUGUCCCAACCAAGCUCACUCCAACCUUAGCCUCCACAUCUGGCUUCCUACAACUCAUCCAAGAUUCCCUGGAUCUGCACUUCAUCUCUCCCUGUGUUACAAUAAAUAUCUUGGUUCAUUCA